UACGUAGGCAGCGAGCGUUGUUCGGAAUUACUGGGCGUAAAGAGUGUGUAGGCGGUGCUCUAAGUUCGGUGUGAAAUCUCCUGCUUAACUGGGAGGGUGCGCCGGAAACUGGGGUGCUCGAGCGUGGGAGAGGAAAGCGGAAUUCCUGGUGUAGCGGUGAAAUGCGUAGAUAUCAGGAGGAACACCAAUUGCGAAGGCAGCUCGCUGGGACGUUACUGACGCUGAGACGCGAAAGCGUGGGGAGCAAACAGG
rnacentral:rRNA from 1 species